rnacentral:lncRNA from 1 species
UCCAAACUCAGAUGACGAUUGUGCAACCAGCACUUUCCUGAUAGAGACAUUUCUGAGGCCCAUGCCCAGUUUUGUUGAAAGCCCUGCUUCCAACUUAUACAGCAGAGAUGCCUGCUGUUCAGCCCCAGCUCUGCUGCUCGCUGCUCUGUGACCUCAGAGACUCAAGAGGCACUCCUGCUGGACUCAGAUUUCCAAGUUACUGGCUGUCCCACACUAUCCAUGUUUUACAGUGGCCAUUCUUGUGCCCAUUCAAAUCUCCCUUUGCCUAGCAAUUAGCAGCUGACAUCUUUAUUGAUUGAUCAAAAACCAAUUGGGGACAAGGACCUUCAGCAUUUGGACAAGCAGAUUCCCGAUUAAAUCAAAGCAUUAGAACCAAUUCUCAACAGUGUGGCAAUCACUGAGCCCAGGACUGAGGGAAAGGGACACUGGAGCUGUCAGAGUACUUGCCUAGCCUGCAUGAUGGCAUGGGUGCAACCCUGGCACUGCAUAAAACAAGUGACAUGGUACAUACGUGCCACCCCAUCACUUUGGAUGUGGAAGCAGGAAGAUCAGGAGAUCAAAGUCAGCCUGAGCAGCAAAACAAAUUGGAGGCCAGCCUGGGGGAAAAGAUACUGCCUGCUGUGACCAGCCUUUGGGAAGGUGAGGCAGGAAGAUUACAAGAUCCAUCAAUCUGAGCUACAGAGCUUUGGGCAUCCCUGACUCACGA